rnacentral:lncRNA from 1 species
AUUUUUUAGUUGGAGAUCCCUGCCUAUGUGAGAAUGCUGUAGGCCUUCUGAAGACCAUCGUGAACUUAUGGCCUUCAUAUUUCUGCAAAACUUAACACUGUGAAGAAUUCUGAGGCACAGAUUUCCAGAUCCACUGAAAAUGAAGGACAGAAAGAGAUUGAUGGGAAAAUGUUGCCUUCAAAAAAUGAAAAUGUUUUGCAGAAAUUUAUUGAUUUCAGCGAACUCUCUCCAAAACCCUCUCCUGGCAUGUACCUUUUGAUACACAGCAGCAGAGAUGGGCAUUUCUGCUGGUGGCAUUUCUUCCUGAGGCACUGCAGCUCACUGAACCUCCACACGCUAAGGGAUGUGGGCAACGUGUUGUCCUUAAAGUUGCAUUUAGUUUCUUUACUCUUCUUUUCUUCAAAUAGUACCUAAAUUCUUGUUAUUGAGGUUUAACCUAACCCUGUGGUGCCUGCAUGGCAUUCCCCACAGGUGUGACUGGAUACAGUCCCACCUGAGGCCAGACACUUUGAUUCUCAGGGUAAGUAGAGGGAAGAAGUCACAGUCUAGCCAUCUCUCCAUCAUUAUCUUGCUUUUCACCUGUCUGUCCCUUCACUGAGAAGUCAGAAAUGCUUUUUUUUUUUCAUAAUGUCCCUUCAACUAACCAUCAGGACAGUUUGGAGCUUGUCUGUAAAUCAUUUCAAGGUAAUACUGAGAAAAAUAUGCUUUAAAGCAUGUACUUACUGUGAGAUUGAGUCCCACAGAGCCAGCCCUUCCCAUCAAAGCCUGUUUGAUGACAUCCAAGAUGUUAAGCUGUGUGGGUGGAUGAUAGAAAUGGCAUUGUAAUCUCAACUGUUAUGGAAUAGCAAGACAGCCAAAAGCCUAUGCUCCUGAAUGGACUUGAAGCCCGCCUCAGAGUUUGCACCUGGAAACCAUCUUAUAGCAGUGGUGGAGGAAGGAUAGCUUUCUCCUGGAAAAAAAAAAAAAAAGGUAUUUAGGUAUCUAAGUGCUACCAAAUGGACAUGCAAUUAUUUGGAAACUAUGUAAAACUUUAUUUCUGCUUCCUGAAUCACAAAUGCCAUCUU